UGUUUUGGCACAUAAAAAAAAAAAAUCAACAAAUGAAACAAGUAAAUAAAUAUAUUUUCAGCUUUUAUUUUGUUAUACACUGCUCAACAGAGUUUGAAUGGGUUACACAGUUAUUGUACCAAAGUUAUUGUAUCCAUCCAUUUUCUGUAGCACUUAUCCUACACAUGGUCACAGGGAACCUUGAAAAUCAAGGCAGGAUGUAUUGAAAAUGUUUUACAUUAAAUUUUAGCUUUGUGUAUUGUUACCCCUAUUUCCGUGUCCUAGAUAUUUAUUAAAAUUUUCAGGCAUUUUACUGUUUACUAUUGUGUAAUUUAGACAAACCAAGAGACUUUCAAAUUUUGUUCGAUUGAGGUAUCAUGCUUUAUAAUACAUGAGUGGCAAAAAGCUUCUGUUAUCGCAGAUAUAAAACAGAACAUAUGAUUCCUGUGAUACAGACAACUGAAACAAACUGUUGUUUUCAAGAUGACAAAGCCUAACUGAAUUGAGAUUUACAGAUAGCAACAAGUGAAGAAACUGGAGGUUACAGUGAUAUGCACUUUGUUUUUUAGCUUUUUGCAUUGCAAGCUGGAAUUAAUUUAUUUGGGUUUCAUGUAAUGGACCAAUCCAACUCACUGGACUAAUCCAAAUCAUUGGAUGAAUGAAAAAAAAAAAACUCUUAAAAAGUGAAAAACAGACAGUGUAAACAAUGUGACAGUUCCUCUUAAAUGAGUACAAAAGGUCAGAGACACACACAAACAGGUAAUGUAGAAAAUAUGGCAAAGAGACACAAAAAGAAACAUUCAAAAAUACCGGAAUGUGCAAAAGUAAUGGAACAUACAAGAAGUCCAAAGUGUAAUUAUUACGCACAGGUGAAAGACAGAUAUAGUUCAGUCAGGGGCAAAACAGCUGUAUCCAAGGGAAAACAGGAAAGCAAAGUUCAAAACCAGAAAGCACAGCAGAAGUACAAAGGUUUAGCAACAUUAUGAUCCGUAGGAGCGUAUACUUCACCCUGAGGCUUUGAAACAAAGGGUCUUAAAAACAGGGAGAACUAAACACCUUAAAUUAGUUGAACUUCCUCCCCCUGUGUGACCAAGGAGUCCUCCAAACAGGGUAAAGUCAAAAUUGUUGAGAAGUAUAAAUCAGAGUUGACUGAUAAAAAAAACUCCAACUUUGAACAUUCCACAGAGCACUAUUAUAUUCAUUAUAAUAAAAUGAAAAGAAUAUGGCACAACUACAGACCUGACAAAAGACGGCAGACCACCAAAACUCACAGACCUGACAAGAAGGGCAUCCCUCAGAGAUUCAAGAAAGACACCAAACGAGGGUACUGAAGGACACUGAUGGAGCUGCAAAUAUCCACAGCAGUGAUGAAUGUGUAAUUUCAUUGGAACACUUUAUGCCAUACACUCUACAGAGAGUGGGGCUUUAUGGAACAUGGCCAGAAAAAAAGCCACUGCCAAAAAAAUAUAUAUAUAAAAAACAAGUUUUGAGUUAACCAUACAGCAUAUGAAAGACACAAACAGAAUACUAAAUGUAUACUAUGUGGCCAGAAGUGUAGUAUAUGGUCAUUACAGUUUUAAUUCCCUUUUCAUGUUAUUGUAAACUCCAUUUUUCUGGAAAGAUGUUCACUUUAUUUUAGUGCGUGGCCUUGGGGAUUUGUUUUUAUUCAGCCACAAGACCAUAAGUGAGGUCAAACACUGAUGUCAGUCAAGGAUGCUUGGCACAGUGUUCAGAGGUGUUGUAGUCAGGGUUCUGUGGAUAUGAUGUGAUGUGAUAUUUUAUUCAUUGUAUAUAUUUUUUUUAGAAAACAAUGUAAUCAAAGGAAGAAAUUUUGCAAAUUGUCCAUUUGGCUGGGUGCACUAUGAUGGACGCUGCUACUUGUAUCAAGGCACCAAACUGGAUUGGGUUGCCAGAAGGGUGUCAGAAGGUUAGCUAAGAACAAAAUGCUUCCCGAGCUCAGUCAAAUGUGAGCAGGGAAACAUAUGACUGUAUAGUGCAUGAUUAAUUGACUUAAGUAUGGUCUAAAUGAAGAAACACAAAAUUAUAAGCAACUUUUACACCAUUGUGAUUUCCACUGUUCAUCCUUUUAGGCAUUUAACUUUUUUUGGUCUGAUGGCACCAAAUUGACUUUCACCAAGUGGAAUCCAGGACAACCAGACAAUUAUGGUGGACGAGAGAGCUGUGUGCAUAUAACCAAUCAUAACUGUAAAGACUGGAAUGAUAUUUCUUGUGACCACUCCUAUCCCUUUGUGUGUGCCAAGAGAAGUGGCUGAAUCUCUCCCAGCUGCACCUCACCAACUUUAAUACAAUAUCUUUCCUUGUCACUGUUGGAUUAAUAAAAAGCAACUGUGGCAGAUUACCAUAAAUGCAGCAAUAAAAAAUUCUAAAAAAAAAAUCUCUCAUUUUUAUUUGUUGCGUAUGAUUUUAUUUCAUUAAUGGUAAUCAUUUAUUUGUCAUUUUUAAAUACACUCUCAGAAAGAUAGAUCCAUCUAGCAAGUGUCCCUGAAAUGUAUUUUGCAGAUGAAGGGCAUAUAUUUUGAGGUCUAAACUAUUUCUAGAUGUGCCUUGCUUCUGUUCUGGAAAAAUAAUAACAAACACUAGUUGGAAACCACCAUUUUUGAGUUUCAUGACAGUAAAGAUGGAUGACAAAAACAUGACCAGCAAUCUUGUCCAACUGCCGUUUUAGGCUUUUUUAAUUACAGAAAGAUGUGCUUUAAUUACUUUAAUGUAAGUAAUUAAAUAAUGUAUUGUGAUAUAAUGAUGAAUACUUUACAUAGUACUUGCCAAUAAAAGGUUCAGGUUUUACAUAGAAAUUUGAUUAAUUAGUAAGUUUGAUUAAGGAAAAUGAUAGAUGCUUGUAGUAGUCCUGUAACUUUGUGUAUUACUGAUGCAAUGAGUGAAACUACAGGUUAUACUGCUUAAGCACAGGGGCCAGAAUAAAGAAUUUAGAAAUUGCUGUCAGAUUUCUUUGACUACCAGCUCAUGCUGGGAUAGAAGGCAAUGAAUGUGCAGGAAAUUAAUGAAUCGCACAUUAUUUGAAUAGUCAUCCAACAUGAGAAUGCACACUAUGUGAUCAACCAGAGACAGGUGAACCUUAACUGUCGAAAGAAGCAUCAUUGAAGGAUUUUAUUGUGUAUGUGAAUACCUCUGUCUUUAUCGUAAUUAUGUAGUGUAUGACUAUUUACACUUUAGUUAGCUAAAUAAGCUAACAUAAUCAGUACCUCUUGAGCAGCAGUCUAUGCUAAUGUUACUGAUGUUAUACAGCAACACAAUAA